GCCCCGGUAGCUCAGUGGGAGAGAUCUUGUAUAAGGUGAGCGAAAGCGCCUAGCAAUCUGUCAGGAGGUCGCAGGUUCGAAUCCUGCCCGAUUUU